GUUGCCAUAAGCAUAUCUUACACCCACGCAUGCAAACCAUGCCAAAGUGUAAAAAACAAACAAAUAGGGAAUUAAAGGAAUAGUUUAUGCAAAUGUACGUUAACCAAAUCUACUUAAAUUCUAGUAGGAAACGUUCAUGUCUUCAAUGCAAGAACAAUUAACCCUUCAGCGGUCACCACCAGCAUGUAAAGAUUAAUAUUUUUACAGUUGCCUAUCCCCAACUGUCCAGCACGAUGAGCAGGUGCUAACCUGUAUCAUCUGUUCUCUCAACCGUCUGAGUGUCAGGAGGAUGAGCCAACAGACACCGUCUUACAAGAGGCCCAGUACUGAAACAGUUAAAAAAAAAGGAAUCUUUAGCACUUUCACCCUGUGCUUUGUAUGAAGUGA